rnacentral:rRNA from 1 species
CAGACGAGGAGCUUGCUCCUCUGACGUUAGCGGCGGACGGGUGAGUAACACGUGGAUAACCUACCUAUAAGACUGGGAUAACUUCGGGAAACCGGAGCUAAUACCGGAUAAUAUAUUGAACCGCAUGGUUCAAUAGUGAAAGACGGUUUUGCUGUCACUUAUAGAUGGAUCCGCGCCGCAUUAGCUAGUUGGUAAGGUAACGGCUUACCAAGGCGACGAUGCGUAGCCGACCUGAGAGGGUGAUCGGCCACACUGGAACUGAGACACGGUCCAGACUCCUACGGGAGGCAGCAGUAGGGAAUCUUCCGCAAUGGGCGAAAGCCUGACGGAGCAACGUCGCGUGAGUGAUGAAGGUCUUCGGAUCGUAAAACUCUGUUAUUAGGGAAGAACAAAUGUGUAAGUAACUAUGCACGUCUUGACGGUACCUAAUCAGAAAGCCACGGCUAACUACGUGCCAGCAGCCGCGGUAAUACGUAGGUGGCAAGCGUUAUCCGGAAUUAUUGGGCGUAAAGCGCGCGUAGGCGGUUUUUUAAGUCUGAUGUGAAAGCCCACGGCUCAACCGUGGAGGGUCAUUGGAAACUGGAAAACUUGAGUGCAGAAGAGGAAAGUGGAAUUCCAUGUGUAGCGGUGAAAUGCGCAGAGAUAUGGAGGAACACCAGUGGCGAAGGCGACUUUCUGGUCUGUAACU